rnacentral:rRNA from 1 species
UACGGAGGGUGCAAGCGUUAUCCGGAUUUACUGGGUUUAAAGGGUGCGCAGGCGGAUAUGUAAGUCAGUGGUGAAAUCUUCCCGCUUAACGGGAAAACUGCCAUUGAUACUAUAUACUCAUUGAUGCUGUGGAGGUAAGCAGAAUAUGUCAUGUAGCGGUGAAAUGCUUAGAGAUGACAUAGAAUACCUAUUGCGAAGGCAGCUUACUACGCAGAUAUUGACGCUCAUGCACGAAAGCGUGGGGAUCAAACAGG